ensembl:lncRNA
CUACUACAUACUCGAACUAGUCCCCCCUUGAGGGAGCAUCAGCUGGAAGGCCAGUUGGAUGAAAAAUGCAUAUUUGCCCAGGCUGGUAAAACAAGAUGCUCAGAGGGGCAAGAAGAUGAAAGGAGGCUAUGUGCCCUGCUUAAAAAACAAACAAAACUCCCACAGCCUUUCUCAGUCUUCCUUGGAGAGAGUGGUCCCAUGACAUUCUGGCCAAUGGAAGCAACAGGCCCAAAGGCCACUGCCUGGUGCAGAAAUGCUGUUUCUUUCCUCUCAAGCAAGGAGCAGCUCUUUUGGAUAUGAGCCCAUCCUGAGUGGACAUCCUUAUUCAUCAUGGAGACCAGAAACAGCCUGAGCCUGGAUCCGCAGCAGGCACUGUUUUGCCCAAAGUUCUGACUCUAUUUCCAGACCACGGCACGUGGCUAUCACAGAAUCUCAGAAAGCCAUGUUGAUCAGCACAAGAGGCGGGGCUCAGAGGGAGACCAUUCUGAAAUUCCUGAGGAUGAACUAAGCCUGGGUAUCAUUUUUUUUUUUUUCUUUUUGGCUGGAAGCAGAGGUCAGAAAAGUAAACUUUGAGGGGCAAAGGGGUUACAACCCCAGAGCAUUUAAACCACCUGAUGCCCCAGGCAACUGCACACCUAUUGGUACAGAGGUUAGAGUAUCAGUUACUGGCAGAAACCCUUCUUGCAAAACACUCUGUAUGUGAGAACCUGAGUAAAGCAAACAACCCCCCAC